CUAGGGUGGUGCUAGGGGUUAGGGACUCAAUACUGCACAUAGAUCACUAGGGUGGUGCUAGGGGGUUAGGGACUCAAUACAGCACAUAGAUCACUAGGGUGGUGCUAGGGGGUUAGGGACUCAAUACAGCACAUAGAUCACUAGGGUGGUGCUAGAGGGUUAGGGACUCAAUACAGCACAUAGAUCACUAGGGUGGUGCUAGGGGGUUAGGGACUCAAUACAGCACAUAGAUCACUAGGGUGGUGCUAGGGGGUUAGGGACUCAAUACAGCACAUAGAUCACUAGGGUGGUGCUAGGGGGUUAGGGACUCAAUACAGCACAUAGAUCACUAGGGUGGUGCUAGGGGUUCAAGACUCAAUACUGCUUCCACCAGUCCAAUGAGCUCACAGUAUAAAGGGUAUAAAGAGAGGAGAAAAGGAAUUUGACUGUGGGCUAAGGUUCAUAACAGGGGUGAUGUGUGUGGAAUUUGACUGUGGGCUAAGGUUCAUAACAGGGGUGAUGUGUGUGGAAUUUGACUGUGGGCUAAGGUUCAUAACAGGGGUGAUGUGUGUGGAAUUUGACUGUGGGCUAAGGUUCAUAACAGGGGUGAUGUGUGUGGAAUUUGACUGUGGGCUAAGGUUCAUAACAGGGGUGAUGUGUGUGGAAUUUGACUGUGGGCUAAGGUUCAUAACAGGGGUGAUGUGUGUGGAAUUUGACUGUGGGCUAAGGUUCAUAACAGGGGUGAUGUGUGUGGAAUUUGACUGUGGGCUAAGGUUCAUAACAGGGGUGAUGUGUGUGGAAUUUGACUGUGGGCUAAGGUUCAUAACAGGGGUGAUGUGUGUGGAAUUUGACUGUGGGCUAAGGUUCAUAACAGGGGUGAUGUGUGUGGAAUUUGACUGUGGGCUAAGGUUCAUAACAGGGGUGAUGUGUGUGGAAUUUGACUGUGGGCUAAGGUUCAUAACAGGGGUGAUGUGUGUGGAAUUUGACUGUGGGCUAAGGUUCAUAACAGGGGUGAUGUGUGUGG